GCUAGCUUGUAUCCAGUCAUUCCGGGGAGCCGAAGAACAACUCGACCGAGUCCCAGCCAUGGAAGGCGACAACAUAAUAAUGCCUGUUUGACUCGGGGAGAUUUUCCAAGAUGCCAGGCCUUUUGUCCAGUCCUGUGUGUCUGACAGUCAUCUGGUUUUUAUCUUGGUCGCUGCGUCCCAGUCGUGCUCAGAUUCAGGCUGAUGAAGUGUCAGGCGUGCAGUAUGGGCGCUUGGAGUCAAAUGUGACACUGGCAUGCGGGAAGCCACAAACCGGGAUACCUGUGGUGUGGCAUCUCAACCACAGCUCAGCGUUACCAUGGCACAAAGUGACAUCAGAUGGAAGCAUAGUCCUGCUGCAUGUCGACCACUCUGCGCAGGGCAACUACAGCUGCUAUGACAACCAGGGGCUCCUCCUCCACUCUGUCAAACUCAGGCUGGGCCAUCCCCCUGGGCUGCUGAGCGUUUCCUGUCAAGUGCCCAAUCACACGCAUGUUCGCUGCUCCUGGGUGGAUUCGGUAAAGACCUUCCUACCAGCCAAGUACAAUGCCUCCUUCAGGGGGAGUGGUCAGGAGUGGAGGCCAUGCAUCGUGGACAUCACCCGAAAGCACUGUGAUGUAGAUCACCCUGCCUUCUGGCAGACCAUCCACACCCUGAGAAUCACAGAGACCAACGGCCUGGGGUCCGAGACAACAUAUGUCCGGUUUAAGUUACAUAAACUAUUGAAACCAGACCCUCCAGAGUCAGUGAUGGUGAAGGAGCUAGAAGGCUAUUCAAAGAGGCUGAUCGUCUCCUGGAACUUUCCCUCCUCCUGGCCGCUGCAUGAUGCUUUUCCCCUUGUGUUUCAUAUACGAUACCGGCCGAUGGGCUCUAUGUACUGGUCAGAGAUUUACUCUGAGGAGAGUCCAGUUGUGAUUUCUGACGCCCUGGCUGGACACCUCCACCAAGUUCAGGUCCGAGCCCGUGACGAGGUGAACUCUGAGAGCCAGUGGAGUGAAUGGAGUCCCCUGCUUCUUGUCAGGCCCUGGGAAGUCUACACCACCCCUGAACCUGAACCUGAACCUACAGAGGAGCUCCUGCCAGAGGAAUAUUUUUUUCCCUUCAACACAAAGCCUGAGACCACCACUGCAAAGUCACACAUCCUACUCUCCAUCCUUUCAUCAUCUUUCUGUUGCUUUAACUCUCUCGUUCCCUGCACCCCCGCCCCCGUUGUUUUGUCCCUCUCUCUUCCCAUUCAGAUCCUGCAUUUGAGGAUGAAGGUAAUUUGGGUUUGGUCAUUCUGCUGGUUUUGUUCUCCGUGGUCAUCCUCACCACCGUCCUUUCCCUCAUCUUUGUCGUGUGGGUGAGGCAGAGGCGGCGCGAUCAUGCAACCCUGCAGGAACUCGCCUCUAUGGUCAAGAUGAAGUCCAUGCCAAUCUAAUGUUGAUUUCAAGCAUCCUCUCCUCAUCAGCCCGUUCUAGGGCUCUCUCCAAGAGUCAGCCUCUGCCUUUACCACUGUAGAAUGCUGGCCGUCCAUAUUUAACUACACUAACCAGAAUGCAUCAGCCUGAGUCCAUCCAAGAUCCAGGACAACAGGGACGAACCUAUACAAGGAACUUUGCAGAGGAGGAUAAAGUUACCCAGUAAGACUGAAGGGUACGUUGUGCAAGAGUUUCCUGAAUGUAUUCAGUGGACACUUCUAACUACACUACCCAUAAUGCAUCAGCAGACUCCACCUACUGUCCAUGAGGACAGGGAAAACAGACCCUACUCUGUUUCUUUAUGUUCACUUCAGCAACUUCACUGCAGUUGACUCCUCAGCGGACUGAAGGAGCGACUGCGUCAGGACGUUUGGAUUCACUCACAACCAAUGCUGCUUCAGGUGGACAGGCUCCUCAAACUUUAUGGAGAGAAGUGAUGUUUUAUUUUAGUUUGUUUUUUUUUUUUUUUAG